rnacentral:rRNA from 1 species
CAAUAGCGUAUAUUAAAGUUGUUGCAGUUAAAAAGCUCGUAGUUGGAUUUCUGGUACAAUGCGCCUGGCCCGCGGCAGUAAUGCUUGUGAGUGCCGGUGCGCGUUUGCCAUCCUUCUAGAAAACGUUUCUACCCUUUACUGGGCCGGACUCGCGAUCUAGAUCUUUACUUGAAAAAAUUAGAGUGUUCAAAGCAGGCAAUUCGCCUGAAUAAUGGUGCAUGGAAUAAUGGAAUAGGACCUCGGUUCUAUUUUGUUGGUUUUCGGAACUUGAGGUAAUGAUUAAGAGGGACAGACGGGGGCAUUCGUAUUACGGUGUUAGAGGUGAAAUUCUUGGAUCGCCGUAAGACGAACUACUGCGAAAGCAUUUGCCAAGAAUGUUUUCAUUAAUCAAGAUCGAAAGUCAGAGGUUCGAAGAUG